AUUGAACGCUGGCGGCAGGCCUAACACAUGCAAGUCGAGCGAGCGGCGGACGGGUGAGUAAUGUAUGGGGAUCUGCCAGAUGGAGGGGGAUAACUACUGGAAACGGUGGCUAAUACCGCAUACUAUCGGAUGACCCCAUAUGGGAGUAGCUAGUAGGUGGGGUAAAGGCUCACCUAGGCGACGAUCCCUAGCUGGGCUGAGAGGAUGAUCAGCCACACUGGAACUGAGACACGGCCCAGACUCCUACGGGAGGCAGCAGUGGGGAAUAUUGCACAAGGGGCGCAAGCCUGAUACAGCCAGGCCGCGUGUAUGAAGAAGGCCUUAGGGUUGUAAAGUACUUUCAGCGGGGAGGCGUUACCCGCAGAAGAAGCACCGGCUAACUCCGUGCCAGCAGCCGCGGUAAUAC
rnacentral:rRNA from 1 species